UGGGGAAUAUUGCACAAUGGGCGCAAGCCUGAUGCAGCCAUGCCGCGGGUAUGAAGAAGGCCUUCGGGUUGUAAAGUACUUUCAGCGGGGAGGAAGGGAGUAAAGUUAAUACCUUUGCUCAUUGACGUUACCCGCAGAAGAAGCACCGGCUAACUCCGUGCCAGCAGCCGCGGUAAUACGGAGGGUGCAAGCGUUAAUCGGAAUUACUGGGCGUAAAGCGCACGCAGGCGGUUUGUUAAGUCAGAUGUGAAAUCCUCGGGCUCAACCUGGGAACUGCAUCUGAUACUGGCAAGCUUGGGUCUCGUAGAGGGGGGUAGAAUUCCAGGUGUAGCGGUGAAAUGCGUAGAGAUCUGGAGGAAUACCGGUGGCGAAGGCGGCCCCCUGGACGAAGACUGACGCUCAGGUGCGAAAGCGUGGGGAGCAAACAGG
rnacentral:rRNA from 1 species